rnacentral:rRNA from 1 species
AAGACCUUGCGCUUUUGGAGCGGCCGAUGUCUGAUUAGCUUGUUGGCGAGGUAAAAGCUUACCAAGGCUUCGAUCAGUAGCUGGUCUGAGAGGACGGCCAGCCACACUGGGACUGAGACACGGCCCAGACUCCUACGGGAGGCAGCAGUGGGGAAUUUUGGACAAUGGGGGCAACCCUGAUCCAGCCAUGCCGCGUGAGUGAAGAAGGCCUUCGGGUUGUAAAGCUCUUUCAGCCGGAACGAAACGGUUACGGUUAAUACCCGUGACUACUGACGGUACCGGAAGAAGAAGCACCGGCUAACUACGUGCCAGCAGCCGCGGUAAUACGUAGGGUGCAAGCGUUAAUCGGAAUUACUGGGCGUAAAGCGUGCGCAGGUGGUUUUGUAAGUCAGAUGUGAAAUCCCCGGGCUUAACCUGGGAACU